GGAAUCUUCCACAAUGGGCGAAAGCCUGAUGGAGCAACGCCGCGUGUGUGAUGAAGGGUUCCGGCUCGUAAAACACUGUUGUAAGAGAAGAAUGACAUUGAGAGUAACUGUUCAAUGUGUGACGGUAUCUUACCAGAAAGGAACGGCUAAAUACGUGCCCG
rnacentral:rRNA from 1 species